UACGUAGGUGGCAAGCGUUGUCCGGAUUUACUGGGCGUAAAGAGCUCGCAGGCGGUCGUGCAAGUCGCGUGUGAAAGCCCCCGGCUCAACUGGGGAGGGUCACGCGAUACUGUUCGACUCGAAGGCAGGAGAGGGAAGCAGAAUUCCCGGUGUAGUGGUGAAAUGCGUAGAUAUCGGGAGGAAUACCAGUGGCGAAGGCGGCUUCCUGGCCUGUUCUUGACGCUGAGGCGCGAAAGCUAGGGGAGCAAACGGG
rnacentral:rRNA from 1 species